rfam:Myotis davidii contig215319, whole genome shotgun sequence.
AGGCCCGGAGAGAGGAGCAGGGUCUGAUCCGCAGCCUCCGUGGCCGCUAUUGAUCAGCCUUUGCUUCUCUUUCUCUCUGGG